CCGGGCCGGGCCCAGGGGGGCGUCAGGUCCACACAGACGGCGCGCUGGGGCACGUCCGGGGGCAGGGCCCCUGACACCCCGUCCUCUGCCCAGGCUACCCGCCAGGCGGUCCAGAUGGGGCCGCAGAAUGGAUGUUUCCCAUUGAGAACGUCCCCUCGACUCUUCAGUGGAUCCCUGUCACCCACUUCUGGCCCAACCGACUCCUUAUCUGCUUUCUGUCACUAUCAGAUGAUUUUACCUGUUUCUGAACUUCACACAAAUGGAAACAAAAGGGACUUUAUGAAGAGCCCAAAUGGCAGGCUGCUGUUGACUCGUGGACAUGGCUGCUUAGCACAGCCACCCAGAGAAUCGAAGGCCAUGGAUCAUGUUUUUAAAAAUAAAAGACUGUGUUUUUCAGAUUAAUUGCUUCUCUCUCCCACACCAGCCUUUGCAGGGAAGCUGCUCAAAUUGACCAAUUUAAAUGUGACCUCCUUUCUUUCUUCUCUAUCCUCUCUGAGUCAGUUGCUAAGAAGCAAUGAAAGGAAGGUAUCUGGGGAAAAUGUGUUCUUACAAGUGUGGAGUACAGGCAGUCCCCGGAUUACAAAUGAGUUUGUUCCUAAAUCUGUUUUUAAGUUGAAUUUGUACGUAAAUUGAAACAGUUAGGUAUGGUUAGGUCUAACCUCAGACAAAUGUUUGUCUUAGUGUAUAGCAUAUAGUGUACCUCUCUAAGCAUAAAAAACAUUAAACACUUCCAGAUACCCUAAAACAUCUUAACAUAAUAAUACAAUAAUAAUAAUAAUGUUUUGAUGCAGGUCACAAAGUAGCACCUAUUAUUACAAAGGAUUGUAAUGUACCUCGAAUUUUUAAUAAAAUAGGCUUUAUGAAAGUUGAUUUGUAACUGUGGGUUGUAUGUAAAUUGACAUUUAUAACCUAGGGACUGCCUGUAAGUGCAGCUCUUCCAAAACUGACCCUCACUCCAGACAACCUGGGGGAUGGACAAGGGUGAUGGUAUCACCCCAUUUUGCAGAUUGGGAAGCUGAGACCUAGUGAGGUCAAGAGGUUUGUCUGAACCCCUCCCCCCACCCAGCAAGAGAGUGGGAGAAGAUAACCAGGAGCUUCAGGUAGGAUGGCAAAGGGGUUGAAAACUCGAACUUUAAAUCUGAAUCCCAGCUCUGUGCCUUUGUAGCUGAGUUAUAUGUUAACCAACUCCCUUAACCUCUCUGAACUUUAGUCUCUUCUUCGAAACACAGAUUACACUGUAAUACUCACCCUCCAGGGUUGUUGAUCAGAUUAAAUGAGAUAAUGUAUGUAAUGUGCUCAGGACAAAGUUCAGGAAAAAGCCAGUACUCAAUAAAUGAUGGGUUAAAAUGUUUUCUCAACCCCUCCUUUCCACUUUCCUCAACUACAGCAAGAAAAUGCAACUGAUUCCACCCAGCCCAGGAUGAAGGAAAAGGAGUGGACGUUUUCUUGUAGCUCCAGGGAGCAGAGCCUUACAGACACAGAGCAGUGAGAAGGCAGGUUACAGCAGUAGCGUGUGUUAAACAAAACUCCUAGACUGUAAUAGAAACCAAUCAGAGAAGCUUAAACAAAGAGCAGAAACGAUUAUAAGGUUGUGAGGGUGUCUCACAGAACCCCAGUGGCAUAAAAGUAGCCACUACUCAGAAAGGGCCCAAAACCAGGAACGACAAGGACCUGAGGACUUCUCUCUGCUUUGCAUUUCUGCUUCUCUCUGCGUCAUCUUUCCCCUGUAGACACUUCCUCUGCUGUGUUGCUUCCUUGUGACAGAAGGCAGCCAUUCGAACUGCUCAGAUCAAACUAGGACCUCUUUGGCCAGUUCUAAGGGAAGGACCUGGUUGGCCCAGAUGCCCACCCCAGCCAGUGUUCAAGCCAAGUUGCCAGCAUCCAACUCCUAGCGGCUAGAAUGAUGGUCAGAUGGGUCACUGUGAGCUGGGCAGACCUCCCAAGAACUGUGUUGUGCUCCCCCAUCCUUGUACAUUUCUUUAUUUUAUUAAUAAUAGUAGCUAAGACCCAUAUAGGGCUUUCUGGGUGAUGGUCACAAUUGUUGUGAGCACUUUGCAUACAUUUAAACUAGUUCUCAUCAAAACUCGAUGAGGUUUUUUGUCACCAUUGUACCGAUGAGGAAACUAAGGCGCGGAGCCGUUAAAUGACUUGAGCUUGGCCAACCUGGUACCAGAUUCUCUUGGUCGCCAUGCCGUGCUGCCCCAAUCAUGCUUUUCAUAAUUCAUCUGUUAGCCUGUGUCUCUCAAAAUGAGAAGAAAGAUGAGGAAGGGGAGGAAUUGGAUAUCCGAUAUUUCACAAAAGCAUUUAACAGUUGACAAGGGAAAAAUGCUGGAAUUUUGCAGGCCGUCCUCACUGUUUGUAUUUUUAACUGCAGUUUUGGAGCAUCCAUGGCAGUCGGCGCAGUGGUUAAGAAGAGCUGGGCUGCAAACUGAAAGGUCAGCAGCUUGAAUUCACCAGCCAUUCCUUAGAAUCCCUAUGUGGCAGUUCCACUCUGUCCUAUAGGGUCGCUAUGAGUUGGAAUUGAUUUUACGGCAGUGAAUUUUUUUUUAAGAGGUCUUAUUGGAGUCCCUGGGUGGCUUAAACAGUUAUGCCCUGGAUGACUAGCCAAAAGUUUGGAGGUUCAAACCCUCCUAGAGGUACCUGGGGAGACAGGCCUGGUGAUCUGCUACUGAAAGGUCACAACCUUGAAAACCCUCUGUAGCAGUUCUACUCUGCACACAUGGGGUCUCCAGAGUUGGAAUUGACUCAAGAGCAACUAACAACAACAAGCGUCUUAUCUACCCCUGUGACCUUCCCCUUGGCCUGGGACCACUUGGGGCCAAGAUCUGUGGCUUCUUUAUCUCUUACACCAAAAUUGCAGGGGCAGGAGCUCAAUAAGAUUCAUUGCCCUGAGCAAAUGUGUAACCCACUUUACAGUUUUCAACACUUCCAAAGUCAGGCAAAGAGAUCAGUCCCAGUGUGUGAUACCUCAAGAAAAAGGAGAGCUUAGGGAAAGAAUACAUAUAUACGCAUGGGGACCCAACAAACGCUGAAUAAGCAGGACUCAGGAGGAACAGGACCCCUGGCAGGGUCUGUGGG